rnacentral:rRNA from 1 species
AUUGAACGCUGGCGGCAUGCUUUACACAUGCAAGUCGAACGGUAACAGGCCGCAAGGUGCUGACGAGUGGCGAACGGGUGAGUAAUGCAUCGGAACGUGCCCAGUCGUGGGGGAUAACGCAGCGAAAGCUGUGCUAAUACCGCAUACGAUCUAUGGAUGAAAGCGGGGGACCGUACGGCCUCGCGCGCUUGGAGCGGCCGAUGUCAGAUUAGGUAGUUGGUGGGGUAAAGGCUCACCAAGCCAACGAUCUGUAGCUGGUCUGAGAGGACCACCAGCCACACUGGGACUGAGACACGGCCCAGACUCCUACGGGAGGCAGCAGUGGGGAAUUUUGGACAAUGGGCGCAAGCCUGAUCUAGCAAUGCCGCGUGCAGGAAGAAGGCCUUCGGGUUGUAAACUGCUUUUGUACGGAACGAAAAGGUUUGGGUUAAUACCCUGGGCCGAUGACGGUACCGUAAGAAUAAGCACCGGCUAACUACGUGCCAGCAGCCGCCGUAA